rnacentral:rRNA from 1 species
GAUGAACGCUGGCGGCGUGCCUAAUACAUGCAAGUCGAGCGAACAGAUGAGAAGCUUGCUUCUCUGAUGUUAGCGGCGGACGGGUGAGUAACACGUGGGUAACCUACCUAUAAGACUGGGAUAACUCCGGGAAACCGGGGCUAAUACCUGAUAAUAUUUUGAACCGCAUGGUUCAAUAGUGAAAGGCAGCUUCGGCUGUCACUUAUAGAUGGACCCGCGCCGUAUUAGCUAGUUGGUAAGGUAACGGCUUACCAAGGCGACGAUACGUAGCCGACCUGAGAGGGUGAUCGGCCACACUGGAACUGAGACACGGUCCAGACUCCUACGGGAGGCAGCAGUAGGGAAUCUUCCGCAAUGGGCGAAAGCCUGACGGAGCAACGCCGCGUGAGUGAUGAAGGUUUUCGGAUCGUAAAACUCUGUUGUUAGGGAAGAACAAAUUUGUUAGUAACUGAACAAGUCUUGACGGUACCUAACCAGAAAGCCACGGCUAACUACGUGCCAGCCGCCGCCGUAA